UACGUAGGGGCCGAGCGUUGUCCGGAGUUACUGGGCGUAAAGCGCGCGCAGGCGGCCCUGCGCGCCCGGCGUGAAAGCCCCCGGCUCAACCGGGGAGGGUCGUCGGGGACGGCAGGGCUUGAGGGCGGUAGGGGCCGGUGGAAUCCCUGGUGUAGUGGUGAAAUGCGCAGAUAUCAGGAGGAACACCGAUGGCGAAGGCAGGUCUCUGGGCCGAUACUGACGCUGAGGAGCGAAAGCGUGGGGAGCGAACAGG
rnacentral:rRNA from 1 species